AGCAGCCGCGGUAAUUCCAGCUCCAAUAGCGUAUAUUAAAGUUGUUGCAGUUAAAAAGCUCGUAGUUGAACUUCGGGGUCUACCCAUUGGUCAGGCUUAAUUGUCUGCACUGGUGAGAUGGAUCUCUACCUUCUGAGGAACUUUCAUGCCAUUUAUUUGGUGUGAUGGGAAAUCAGGACUGUUACUUUGAAAAAUUAGAGUGUUUAAAGCGGACUAUCGUCUGAAUACAUUAGCAUGGAAUAAUGAAAUAGGACGGACUGAUUCUAUUUCGUUGGUUUCUAGGAUCACCGUAAUGAUUAAUAGGGAUAGUUGGGGGCAUUAGUAUUCAAUUGUCAGAGGUGAAAUUCUUGGAUUUAUUGAAGACUUAACUACUGCGAAAGCAUUUGCCAAGGAUGUUUUCAUUAAUCAAGAACGAAAGUUAGGGGAUCGAAGACGAUCAGAUACCGUCGUAGUCUUAACCAUAAACUAUGCCGACUAGGGGUCGGACGAAGUUAAUUUUAUAAUGACGCG
rnacentral:rRNA from 1 species